GCCGGUGUGGCGAAAUGGCAGACGCACACGACUCAAAAUCGUGUGGGAGAAAUCCCGUGUCGGUUCAAGUCCGACCACCGGCA
rnacentral:tRNA from 1 species